ensembl:lncRNA
UCAAAAAUGAGUUCAUGUCCUUUGUAGGGACAUGGAUGAACCUGAGGAUGAUGUUCUCCAGAUUCAUCCAUGUCCCUACAAACGACACAAACUCAUCAUUUCUGAUUGCUGCAUAAUAUUCCAUGGUGUAUAUGUGCCACAUUUUUCCAAUCCAGUCUAUUAUCAAUGGGCAUUUGGGUUGAUUCCAGGUCUUUGCUAUUGUAAACAGUGCUGCAAUGAACAUUCGUGUACAUGUGUCCUUAUAGUAGAAGGAUUUAUAGUCUUUUGGAUAUAUACCCAGUAAUGGGAUUGCUGGGUCAAAUGGAAUUUCUAUUUCUAAGGCCUUGAAAAAUCGCCACACCGUCUUCCACAAUGGUUGAACUAAUUUACACUCCCACCAACAGUGUAAAAGUGUUCCUUUUUCUCCACAUCCUCUCCAGCAUCUGUUGUCUCCAGAUUUUUUAAUGAUCGCCAUUCUAACUGGCGUGAGAUGGUAUCUCAAUGUGGUUUUGAUUUGCAUCUCUCUGAUGACCAGUGACGAUGAGCAUUUUUUCAUAUGAUUGUUGGCCUCAUAUAUGUCUUCUUUCGUAAAGUAUCUGUUCAUAUCCUUUGCCCACUUUUGAAUGGGCUUGUUUGUUUUUUUCCUAUAAAUCUCUUUGAGUUCUUUGUAAAUUCUGGAUAUCAGCCCUUUGUCAGAUGGGUAGACUGCGAAAAUUUUUUCCCAUUCUGUUGGUUGCCGAUCCACUCUAGUGACUGUUUCUUUUGCCGUGCAGAAGCUGUGGAGUUUCAUUAGGUCCCAUUUGUCUAUUUUGGCUUUUGUUGCCAAUGCUUUUGGUGUUUUGUUCAUGAAGUCCUUGCCUACUCCUAUGUCCUGGAUAGUUUUGCCUAGAUUUCCUUCUAGGGUUUUUAUCGUGCCAGGUCUUAUGUUUAAGUCUUUAAUCCAUCUGGAGUUAAUUUUAGUGUAAGGUGUCAGGAAGGGGUCCAGUUUCUGCUUUCUGCACAUGGCUAGCCAGUUUUCCCAACACCAUUUGUUAAACAUGGAAUCCUUUCCCCCUUGCUUGUUUUUGUCAGGUUUAUCAAAGAUUGUAUAGUUCUAUGUAUGUUGUGUUGCCUCCGGUGCCUCUGUUUUGUUCCAUUGGUCUAUAUCUCUGUUUUGGUACCAGUACCAUGCUGUUUUGAUUACUGUAGCCUUGUAGUAUAGUUUGAAAUCCGGUAGUGUGAUGCCCCCCGCUGUGUUCUUUUUGCUUAGAAUUGACUUGGCUAUGCGGGCUCUCUUUUGGUUCCAUAUGAAGUUCAUGGUGGUUUUUUCCAGUUCUGUGAAGAAAGUCAAUGGUAGCUUGAUGGGGAUAGCGUUGAUUCUGUAAAUUACUUUGGGCAGUAUAGCCAUUUUCACGAUAUUAAUUCUUCCUAACCAUGAACAUGGAAUGUUUCUCCAUCUGUUUGUGUCCUCUCUGAUUUCAUUGAGCAGUGGUUUGUAGUUCUCCUUGAAGAGGUCUCUUACGUUCCUUGUGAGUUGUAUUCCAAGGUAUUUUAUUCUUUUUGUAGCAAUUGCGAAUGGCAGUUCGCUCUUGAUUUGGCUUUCUUUAAGUCUGGUAUUGGUGUAGACGAAUGCUUGUGAUUUUUGCACAUUGAUUUUAUAUCCUGAGACUUUGCUGAAGUUGCUUAUCAGUUUCAGGAGUUUUUGGGCUGAGGCAAUGGGGUCUUCUAGGUAUACUAUCAUGUCGCCUGCAAAUAGAGACAAUUUGGCUUCCACCUUUCCUAUUUGAAUACCCUUUAUUUCUUUUUCUUGCCUGAUUGCUCUGGCUAGAACUUCCAGUACUAUAUUGAAUAGGAGUGGUGAAAGAGGGCAUCCUUGUCUAGUGCCAGAUUUCAAAGGGAAUGCUUCCAGUUUUUGCCCAUUCAGUAUGAUAUUGGCUGUUGGUUUGUCAUAAAUAGCUUUUAUUACUUUGAGAUACGUUCCAUCGAUACCGAGUUUAUUGAGGGUUUUUAGCAUAAAGGGCUGUUGAAUUUUGUCAAAUGCCUUCUCUGCAUCAAUUGAGAUAAUCAUGUGGUUUUUGUUUUUGGUUCUGUUUAUGUGGUGAAUUACAUUUAUAGACUUGCGUAUGUUGAACCAGCCUUGCACCCCCGGGAUGAAUCCUACUUGAUCAUGAUGAAUAAGUUUUUUGAUUUGCUGUUGCAAUCGGCUUGCCAAUAUUUUAUUGAAGAUUUUUGCAUCUAUGUUCAUCAUGGAUAUUGGCCUGAAGUUUUCUUUUCUUGUUGGGUCUCUGCCGGGUUUUGGUAUCAGAAUGAUGUUGGUCUCAUAAAAUGAUUUGGGAAGGAUUCCCUCUUUUUGGAUUGUUUGAAAUAGUUUUAGAAGAAAUGGUGCCAGCUCUUCCUUGUGUGUCUGGUAGAAUUCGGCUGUGAACCCGUCUGGACCUGGGCUUUUUUUGUGUGGUAGGCUCUUAAUUGCUGCCUCAACUUCAGACCUUGUUAUUGGUCUAUUCAUAGUUUCAGCUUCCUCCUGGUUUAGGCUUGGGAGGACACAGGAAUCCAGGAAUUUGUCCAUUUCUUCCAGGUUUACUAGUUUAUGCGCAUAGAGUUGUUUGUAAUAUUCUCUGAUGAUGGUUUGAAUUUCUGUGGAAUCUGUGGUGAUUUCCCCUUUAUCAUUUUUUAUUGCAUCGAUUUGGUUGUUCUCUCUUUUAUUUUUAAUCAAUCUGGCUAGUGGUCUGUCUAUUUUGUUGAUCUUUUCAAAAAACCAGCUCUUGGAUUUAUUGAUUUUUUGAAGGGUUUUUCGUGUCUCAAUCUCCUUCAGCUCAGCUCUGAUCUUAGUUAUUUCUUGUCUUCUUCUGGGUUUUGAGUUUUUUUGGUCUUGGUCCUCUAGCUCUUUCAAUUUUGACGAUAGGGUGUCAAUUUUGGAUCUCUCCAUUCUCCUCAUAUGGGCACUUAUUGCUAUAUACUUUCCUCUAGAGACUGCUUUAAAUGUGUCCCAGAGGUUCUGGCACGUUGUGUCUUCGUUCUCAUUGGUUUCGAAGAACUUCUUUAUUUCUGCCUUCAUUUCGUUGUUUACCCAGUCAACAUUCAAGAGCCAGUUGUUCAGUUUCCAUGAAGCUGUGCGGUUCUGAGU